GGUUGUUGUUGUGGCUCAAGCACUUUGACGGGUAGAUGGCACUCAGGUCAGUACCCCUAAAUGGGGAGGCUCUGGCCAGUCACUGCCUUGGCUCUGGGAGCCUGGACUAUAUUUGGAACUCUUAGGGGCCCUGGGUCAUUGUGAAGUCUCCAGCGAGGAAUCUGCCUCUCAUUUGCUUGGAUGAAACACUGUUGAGCAGUUUGGGCUGUGCUGGUUCUGAAGAGUGAAGCAGCAUUGCAGGGUCUCAGGAAAGUUCUUUACAGCUGUGUGAAAAUGGACUAAUACAACAUGGAAGAGGAAAUUCUGCCUCUGGACUGUCUUCAGAUUGCAGUAACAACUUCUCACUGAAUCACCAGCCUAUCCUGCCCUGCAGAUUCAGACUGGGGAGCACCAACAAUCAUAGUUGUACCAGCCUGUGCCCUUGGAUGCCAUUCCAGGCAGCAAUUCUGAAGACAGCUCUGGGGCUCCUCAGGUCUCUCUGCAGUGCUCCUCCUUCCCCUCUGCCUCCACUGCCCCAUCUCACCAGCCCUCCCCACCAACAUUUCCUCCAAGCCUCAACAAGUCACCCAAGAGUAUUCUAAGGUCCCUGCUGGUCUAUCUGACAAUAUGCAGAUAGGCCUUGGUUGCCUUGGCUGGCUGUGACCUUGCUGACAUCUAUAGACAGAGAGGUGGGAAUGAAAGACACAUUACUCCUGGAUGUUGGUGGAGAAGGUGGUGGUUGCAGUUGCUACGCAAGAGUCACCAGGCUGCAGACUCUGUCCACUUCUGAGAGUGCAAUGUCCCCUGUGAUUGGCUGGGAUUUCUGAGCUUUUCAGCUUGCAUAUGGUGAGAAUGUUGGCACACCGCAGCCCUGAGGGCCUGGGCUUUGGACUCCGGCAGUCCCACAUGUGUGUGCUACCUCUGCCGCUCUCUGGUUGUAUGAAGUCAAGCAAUGUCUGUAACCUCACUGAGUCACAGCGCUCUGCUCUGUAGAAUGGAGAUGGGAUCCUCUCUACCUCCUGCAGUGUCUGUGAAUGCCAUAACACAAGCCAGAGUGCUGAGCACCGUGCCCACCCUAGAAGAGGGCUCGGUGUAUAGUAGCAGCUCUUAAUGCUCCCAGGAUGCCUAAUAAAUUCUUUCAGAAAAGUAUGUGCCCGUGUGUGUGGUUUU
rnacentral:lncRNA from 1 species